CAAGGAUUGGAGUGAUCUAGCAGAUCACCGGUCCAGAUAACACCAGGGGAACAUCACACUUUUGUUAUUUUCUGUUUGCUUACUUUGGGAAAGGAAAAUAGAAACAGAAAGGCAUAAAAAGGGCAAGGAGCGAGCGUGAUGCAGUUGCAAGGUUAGCGCUGUAGAAACUACAUGUAGCAGAAAAGGAGAAAGAACACUAACAAAUCUUGGAGCUAAAAGAGGCAGAAAAGGCCAAAGAGGAAGCUGCACAUAAAAGGGCCAUGGAACUGAAAGAACAGGAAAUAAGGGCCCAGAAACAAGCUACAGCGUUGGCACAUUGGAGGGCCUUGGAACUGAAGCAGGUAGAGAUAGCAGCAAAUCAGUAGGCUCUAGAGCUGCAAGCCAAAGAAACUGAGAAAAAGGAAGAAGAGCAGAGACACCAGCUGGACUUGCUAGAAAAACAGAACCAGAACCCUCUCACCCCACUAAUUCCCAUUGCUCCAAAAUUCCACAAAUGGCACCAAUUGUGCCCUGCAUACAAAGAGAUAUCAUGGAAUAUUUUACUACUUUGGAGAGGCUGAGUGCAGUUCAUGAAAUUUCUGAUAAUAAGAGGAUCCCCACUUUGGUUGCAAAGUUAACUGGUAAAGCUCUAAAUACAUUCAAUGAAAUGCCAAUUCAAGAUGCUUUAAGCUAUUGUAAAUUCAAAGAAAUUGUUCUGAAACAAUUUCAGAUUACCCCUAAAACUUAUAGGGUGAAAUUCAGAAAUCUUAAGAGAAAUGCUGGUAUGAGUAAUGGAGAAUAUGUAAACAGGAUGAAAGAUCUAAAGAGAAAGUGAGUGAGGGGAAAAGGUGUUGAAAGUUUUGAACAAAUGUUUGACCUCGUUGCUCAGGAGCAUUUCCUAAAUAUAUGUAAAGAUAAUGUGAAACAGUGUCUAUGGGAUGAAAAAGCAAAAACUGUGGAUGAGCUGAUGUCUCUAUCUGAUGGCUUUG